rnacentral:rRNA from 1 species
UACGUAGGGGGCGAGCGUUGUCCGGAAUCAUUGGGCGUAAAGAGCGUGUAGGCGGCUUGGCAAGUCUGACGUGAAAGCCCGCGGCUCAACCGCGGAUUGUCGUUGGAAACUGCCUCGCUAGAGUCCGGAAGAGGAGAGCGGAAUUCCUGGUGUAGCGGUGGAAUGCGCAGAUAUCGAGGAAGAACACCCGUGGCGAAGGCGGCUCUCUGGGACGGUACUGGACGCUGAGACGCGAAAGCGUGGGGAGCGAACAGG